GCCUUGUACACACCGCCCGUCACACCAUGGGAGUGGGUUGUACCAGAAGUAGAUAGCUUAACCUUCGGGAGGGCGUUUACCACGGUAUGAUUCAUGACUGGGGUGAAGUCGUAACAAGGUAACCGUAGGGGAACCUGCGGUUGGAUCACCUCCUUACC
rnacentral:rRNA from 1 species